UACGGAGGGUGCGAGCGUUGUCCGGAUUUAUUGGGUUUAAAGGGUGCGUAGGCGGUUCUUUAAGUCCGGGGUGAAAGCCCACUGCUCAACAGUGGAACUGCCCUGGAAACUGGAGAACUUGAGUACAGACGAGGGCGGCGGAAUGGAUGGUGUAGCGGUGAAAUGCAUAGAUACCAUCCAGAACCCCGAUUGCGAAGGCAGCUGCCUAGACUGUAACUGACGCUGAGGCACGAAAGCGUGGGGAGCAAACAGG
rnacentral:rRNA from 1 species